GCCCGGAACAGAUCCAAGCUCUCCACCGAUACUGCCCCGUUCUGAGACCCAUGGAUCUACAGCCAGUCACCACCAUCAGCCCCACCCCAGCUGGUGUGGAGCAGAGCCUGGUGACCUCCCAGUGCAUCGGGGAAAGCAUGCAGUGCUGCUCGGAGCAAGGCUCAGUGCAACUGGGAGCACCCUGGCUGCCUAACAACAUCUCAGAAAAUUGUUCGGCCGGCGGGGGGUUGGAUGGAGCCGACACAGGGGUGCCUUGAACACAAUUAAAGCUCAUUGCAAGCUGAUUCUGGAACAAAAAGGUAGUGAAAAGAUUUUAAAAAAAUUAAGAAGAGAGGGAAAACAAAACAGAAAACAAGCAAAACAAAAGCAAAAAUGUUGGUUGUAUUAUCAGGAGAUCCCAGUAUUUAUAUCACAGACUUCCUAAAGAGAUGACUCAGGCGUCAGAGUUUGAUGCUGCAGUAUAAAACUAUUAUUUUAUAUAUUUUACAAGUAAUUUAUUAAAUAUCUUUCUAAGGGUAUAUGCUGCUUUUAAGAUGCACUAUAUUUUUGGAUCUAAUCCUUGUACUAUUUUUUUUCCCAAGGAAGUAAAAUGUGCUGCAAAGGCAAGCCACAGUGAUUAGUAUGCUAACUGCUAUUUCUCUUUAAAAAGGAGAGUGGGAACUAGAUAUGUAACUUUGCUAAGUGGAUUAACUCCUGCCAGAGAAAUUAUUAAUGAUGAUAGUGUGGUUGUUAAUCUGGAGUGCGACACUUUGUCAAGUCUGUAUUCUAAAAGAGUGCUUCAAUAGAAGUUAAAAUGCCUAGAUAUAUAGCUAAUUUUUUUAAUAUGCGACUUUAUGAUUGCCUAGUAAAUAAUACAGAUCUGCAUGCUGGAAUCACUAUAAUCCUGUAAUAAAAUGAGAACUGAUCCACUAGAAGAAAGCAUGGUGAAGCAUUGCAAUUCCAGAAUCAACACCACAUCCUCACUUGUGUCUUGUAACACUGCUGUGGUAGUGAAGAGAGAGCAAGGGGUGCAUUUUAAGAAUAGAAGGCCCGUAGUGAAUUUUGCAGUGAGACAAAGUGAACAUUUGCCAGGUUUCCACAGGCUCACAUUUUUUUCCACUUCACAUCCUCUACCUUUGCAACAAGGAGUGCUGCUUCCACCUUUUUUUUUCUAAUCUGAGAUGUGUUUGAAGGUGCCUCCAGGUGAAUGUUGUAGCCCAUGGCUACAGCAUUUUAAAAGUCUCUAUUUUAGGGCUGCCUAGAGAAGGUUUAGCUCAGUGUGAGCAGCAACUUUGCAUAAGGAGGGGAUCUGCUAAGUAUAGAGCAGUUUUAUUUUUAUCGGAAGUGAGGUGAAACUAAAACUAUUAACAUAAAGAACUUCUGCUCUCUUUUCUGUUAGAAAUUCUCACAACAGAUUUUGACUUCGUUUCAGUUUCGUCUCUGCCAACACAGUCCAGGUUAAUUUUGCAUCCAUAUAUAAAAUAUGUGUAUGUAUGUAUACAUACAUCUAUAAUUCUAGUCAGAGUGUGUGUUUGUGUAUUUUCCUGUUUAUAAUACAUAUAUGUAUAUUUAUAAUACUCCUUGGAGUAUUUCAUGACUCAGGCAUCAGGUCUGAUGCUGUAGAAUACAAUAUAUGUGUAUAUGCAUAUGUUCAAAUACUGUGUGUAUAUUUAAAAGAUCUAUUGUUGGUGGUCUGUAGAAUAAUUAUUUCCUUUACUCUCAAAAUUUUAAUGGCAUUACUUGCAAAGACUAAGUGUACAGUAUUUUCCUACACUCCACCAAGAUAGGUAUUAUUUAUAUCAAAGUCAAAUAUUGAUAUGCAUUUUAAGGUAUUACUCAGAUAAUGUUGCCAUUUUUGCAAAGAAAAUUGCUCUUUGGCAGGAAGGAAUGCUAAAAAUAUCUUUUUACAAGGUCAUUACCCCCAACAAACAACUGCUAAAAAGCCAGUUAGAUGACUCUUGUUCUUGUAUGAACUUUAGUGACCAUGGGCAGAGCCCUUUCUGUAGGUGAAAGUCACAGUGUGGUUCAUGCAGUGCCACUGUUGAUCCCUUUUGGCUAAUUAAGGGCAUGCAGAAAGAAACUAGUAUCCCAAAAUAGAAAUGGCAACUGGCAGUGUUUGAUUUCAUUGAUUGCUUAGAAGCAGAGAUGGUCCCAGGCUAUGAACCCAAACGACCCCCAUGUUUUGGAGGGAUCCAAGUGGGGCCUGCAUUUGCCAGCUGGGCUCAUCCCUGCAGCCGGAGGAGCCCACGCUCUGGGAUGUGGGCAGAGGAGGGAGCAGCUACCCUGUGCUGGGGGUUGUGACUGGCUUCCCCUGCCCAGGCCAGCAUUACCCUGCAUUUGUGAUGUACCCAGGAGAAACCUGCAUGGUUUCAGUCCUGCUCUUACUACUCCACUUGCUCUGCCUGAAGCUCUCUGGAUCCCUCAAACCAGCAGGAAUGAUACUAAACACUUUGGUGAUAUUUGAUGCAUGGUUGUUUACUCAUAGUUCCAAGCAUCACCUUUGAUUUCAAGGGUGGGGAUGCCCUAAAAGUUUGUUCCAGAACCAGUUGGUUACAAGUGCACCUCUUAUAUAUGCCUUACAAACUUCAGAGGCCAUAUUCAAAACAGGGUUUUAUCAGUGUAUGCAAGGGGGUGCAACCCCUCUUCUCUUCCUCCCCAGGUCAAACAGUAUGGACAGUUUUCACACAUAUCUACCUGUAUAACCCUCUGUACCUCUCAUAACUGGUCAAUGACUGUAACAGGUUACAUCAGGUGUUUUUUCUACAUACUUUUUACACAAAUUCUAUGCGAUUAAUGUAACUUAAUUCAAUGCAUCAUUUUAUUGUACUAGUUCUUAAGCUUGUCUUUAUUUUUUUUCUAGGUGACUGUGGUUUCUUGUGAUUUUUAUUGUAUAAAUAAAUGAGGUGGCUGUUGAUGCUUACUCUCUGUUACUAAGAAUUUUUACCUUUUUGGAAGAAAGCAUUGCUAUGAACUAAUGAAUUUAAAAUGUCAUUUACUCAUUGUAAAUACAGUAUUGUGCAAAAAAAAUUAAACCACCCAACCCUUUUCAUUCAUUUGAAUUGCUAGUGUUAACUGAAUUUUGUCUAGACACCAUUUCUGUUGAUGAAAUAAAGACAUAUCAUUAUGUAUUGUAAA